ACUUAUGUUGUCUCAAGCCAUGAUCCUUUAUGAAGAUAAUUAGCUGUAAAACAUCCUGUCACAGGAGAAAAGAAGAGUACACUCAUCCUUGACUCUUAGAUGGGCAGCAAUAAUGAUCCCAUCCUUCUCAAGCCCUCCUUUUGACUGAUGGCCUUCGCGGGGAGCCUGCGCAAGGAUGAGAUCCCCAUCAUGCUCUGGCAGCAUCCGCACUGAGCACUUUCCUUCAGUUCCCUCAACACUCACACAGCUAGGGCUCUGAGAAAGUCAUGGAAUUCAACAAGUAACCACCCUCCUAGGUCACCCUCGGUGGCACUUUCAGCCCCAAAUGCUCCUCCCAAGCUCAAGUCUGUACCUAGCCUGACCUCUCCUUACUGAAACUUAGUCCUCUGCUUUGGUUCCUGUGGUCGCGAGGGAAAGUUGGAGCAGAAAGCGACGCGCACAGAGCCCCAGAUAAUGCAGAGAGAUCAAGGUGUGGACACACACACACACACACACACACACACACACACACACCACACACUAUCACAUCAACAAACAGCGACCCUAUACGACCGUCCGCACACGCCCACUCCCAGCCGGCUGCCUCAGGCCUUACUCCAUGGAGACCGAAGCCAACCUGAAAUUUCUUCCGCCGACCACAAAGAUCGGACCUUCCGCAUUAGCGGCACCAGAACACCAAAAGCCUACGCGCUAGUUUCGGCGUGGUGACCCUAAAAAGUGCAGUUAUCACCAGCAAAGCCCCCGUGAAGCCCGGCUCUUGGGGGCGGGGAUGCCAGAUCUGCGAGCGGAGCCCAGUGGCUUGUGGGAGUUCCCACGGGGGUGCGCGCUUAAAGGGGAGGCGCCCUCCUUUGAGUAAAAGUUACUUCCGGUUCUGCGGGGAACUGAUUUUCUCGCCCUUAAAAAGGCAGGGAUGCUCUAGAUAGAAAAUGUGACUGAGGACCACAUGCUAUGCAACAACCGUACUGUGUCUGUUAGACAGGCUAGACGAUCCUCAUAAUAAAACUAGUCGCAUUGAAAGUACUGUAAUCGGUCUAAAAGCUAAAGUACAGGUUUGUCACAUUAGAUUUGAAAAGAGGUCAGACCCAGCUAUCUGUUAACUUCAGAAAAUAUGUUAAAGAUAAAUACUUUAGCAGAUUCAAAGUGACCAUCUUUACAUAAUCAAAAGAAAACUCAAGUCGAUUAUAAAAUGGAGGCAGAUUUGGGGGCAAAGAACAUUGCCAGUGAUAAUAAAGAGGCCAAGACAUCAAGUGAUAGUAAACAUGGCUGGGCGUGGUAGCAAUGGCUUUUAUCCCAGCGAUGGGGAGGUACAGCCAGCUGCAUGUCUGUGAGAAGAGACCACCGAGGACUACCCAGUGAAACCCUGUCUAAGAACUAAAAUACACUCAGAUUAUGGUGGCACAUGCCUUUUACUCUUUUUGUGUCUGAGUUACCUCACUCAGGAUAUUUUCUAGUUGCACCCAUUUGCCUGCAAAACUCAUGAUGUCCUCAUUCUUAAUAGCUAAAUACUAUCCCAUUAUGUAAAUGACCCACAUUUUCUGUAUCCAUUUUUCCAUUGGGGGACAUCUGGGUUGUUUCCAGCUUCUGGCUUUCACAGAUAAGACCUCUAUGAACACAGUGGAUUUGUGGUAUGGUGGGGCAUCUUUUGGGUAUAUUCCAAGAGUGGUAUAGCUGGGUCUUUGUGGUUGAUCUAUUUCCAAACUUCUGAGGAUCCUCGAGAUUGAUUUCCAGAGUAGUUGUAUCAGUUGGCAAUCCCACCAACAAUGUCUUAGAGCUCAGGCUCUAAGAUCCAGAAUUGAUAAAUGGGACCUCAUAAAACUGGAAAGCUUCUGUAAGGCAAAGGACGUAGUCAGGACAAAUCAGCAACCUAUAGAGUGGGACAAAACUUCACUAACCCCACAUCCUAUAGAGGGUUAAUAUCCAAAAUAUAUAAAGAACUCAAGAAGCUAAGCUUCAAAAAUCCAAACAACCCAACCACAAAAUAAGGUAUAGAGCUAAACAGAGAAUUCACAACAGAGGAAUCCCAAAUGAUGGAGAAGCACUUAAAGAAAUGUUCAAAGUCCUUAGUGAUCAGGGAAAUGCAAAUCAAAAUGACCUGAGAUUCUACCUUACAACAAUCAGAAUGGCUAAGACAAAAAACUCCGGUGACAGCACUUGUUUCUACUGCACUUUUGAAACUUAAAGACUGUAUCUAUUUUUAAGAUAUUCCAUAGGCUAAUACUAGACCAGGAGUCCCCAGCUAUAUCUAGGUGACUGUUUCUGCAAAGCUUCCUGUUUUGUUAUUCCACUGGCUUUUGGAUCAUUUAUAAAGAUGCUUAGCCUUCUGUC
ensembl:antisense Gm26891 predicted gene, 26891